rnacentral:rRNA from 1 species
AUUGAACGCUGGCGGCAGGCCUAACACAUGCAAGUCGAGCGAGCGGCGGACGGGUGAGUAAUGUCUGGGAAACUGCCUGAUGGCGGGGGAUAACCACUGGAAACGGUAGCUAAUACCGCAUACCAUCAGAUGUGCCCAGGUGGGAUUGGCUAGUAGGUGGGGUAAUGGCUCACCUAGGCGACGAUCCCUAGCUGGUCUGAGAGGAUGACCAGCCACACUGGAACGGGGACACGGUCCAGACUCCUACGGGAGGCAGCAGUGGGGAAUAUUGCACAAUGGGCGCAAGCCUGAUGCAGCCAUGCCGCGUGUGUGAAGAAGGCCUUCGGGUUGUAAAGCACUUUCGGCGGGGAGGCGUUACCCGCAAAGGAAGCACCGGCUAACUCCGUGCCAGCAGCCGCGGUAAUUC